CCCCCGGGCGCAGGUCCGGCUGGGGAGCGGAACGGCAUGGGAGGGCCGGCCGCAGCGGGUGACAGCCCCGUACGCGAACCCAGACCGGACGGCGCGACGCGGUCCCUGAGUAGGGCCGGGCACGUGAAACCCGGUCCGAACCUGGGUGGACCACCAUCCAAGCCUGAGUACUACCCUGUGACCGAUAGCGCACCAGUACCGUGAGGGAAAGGUGAAAAGCACCCCGGGAGGGGAGUGAAACAGUACCUGAAACCGUGCGCCCACGAGCAGUCGGAGCAACUUUACGUUGUGACGGCGUGCCUUUUGUAGAAUGAGCCAGCGAGUCGCUGGCGCGGGGCGAGGUUAACCGAAAGGGAGCCGGAGCGAAAGCGAGCCUUAACAGGGCGACUUGAGUCCCGCGCCGCGGACGCGAAGCCGGGUGAGCUAUCCGUGGGCAGGCUGAAGCGGGGGUAAGACCCCGUGGAGGGCCGAACGCACGUCGGUUGAAAACGGCGGCGAUGACCUGCGGAUAGGGGUGAAAGGCCAAUCAAACCCGGAGAUAUCUCGUUCUCCCCGAAAUAGCUUUAGGGCUAGCGUCGCGCGUUCACCGCCGGAGGUAGAGCACCGGAUGGACGAGGGGGCUUCGCCGCCUACCGAAUCCAACCGAACUCCGAAUGCCGGCGGCCCAGAGCGCGGCAGUCAGAGCAUGUGGGCUAAGCUGUGUGCUCGAGAGGGAAACAGCCCGGACCGCCCGCUAAGGUCCCCAAGUUCCAGCCGAGUGGCAAAGGAUGUGCGUCCGCCCAGACAACCAGGAUGUUGGCUUAGAAGCAGCCAUCCAUUCAAAGAGUGCGUAACAGCUCACUGGUCGAGUGGACAUGCGCCGACAAUACACGGGGCUAAGCUGGACACCGAAGCGGCGGGAUUUUAAUUCAUUAGAAUCGGUAGGGGAGCUUCCCAUGGGCGGAGAAGCCGGAGGGCGACCGACGGUGGAGCGCAUGGGAGUGAGAAUGCUGGCAUGAGUAGCGAGAGACGAGAGAGUAACUCGUCCGCCGUGAACCCGAGGUUUCCUGGGCAAGGCUAAUCCUCCCAGGGUCAGUCGGGGGCUAAGGCGAGGCCGGGAGGCGUAGCCGACGCGCAGCAGGCAGACAUUCCUGCACCGCGCACGCGGCGCUACGACCGACGGGGCGACGGAUGGGGGUGGCUCGGCGGGGUUCUGGACGUCCCCGUGAUGGAGCGCGGCCCGCGGACCAGGGAAAUCCGGUCCGCACGAGGGCGAGGCUCCGGACGAAGCGAUCAAGCGAAGCGAGUGAGCCCGAGGUCCCUAGAAAAACCCCUAGGCAGGCGCGUGCGCGCCCGUACCGCAAACCGACACAGGUGGGUGGGUAGAACAUACCGAGGCGAUCGGGUCAACCAUGGUCAAGGAACUCGGCACAAUGGCCCCGUAACUUCGGGAGAAGGGGUGCCCGCGCGUACGUGAACCGGCUCGCCCGGGGAGCGGAGGCGGGCCGCAGUGGAGAGGCCCAAGCGACUGUUUACCAAAAACACAGGACUCUGCAGAAGCCGCAAGGCGACGUAUAGGGUCUGACGCCUGCCCGGUGCCGGAAGGUCACGCGGAGGAGUUAGCGCAUCGCGCGAAGCCCCGAAGCCAAGCCCCGGUAAACGGCGGCCGUAACUAUAACGGUCCUAAGGUAGCGAAAUUCCUUGUCGGGUAAGUUCCGACCUGCACGAAAGGCGCAACGACUUGGGCGCUGUCUCGACCAUGGACCCGGUGAAAUUGCACUGGUCGUGAAGAUGCGACUUACCCGCGGAAGGACGGAAAGACCCCGUGAACCUUCACUGCAGCUUGGCAUUGGCCGCUGGUCCCGCGUGUAGAGGAUAGGCAGGAGGCGAAGAUCCGGAGGCGCCAGCCCCCGGGGAGCCGCCCUUGGAAUACUGCCCUCGCGCGACCGGCGUCCUAACCCGAGGCCGUCAACCGGCUCGGGGACCGUGCCAGGCGGGCAGUUUGACUGGGGCGGUCGCCUCCUAAAGGGUAACGGAGGCGCGCGAAGGUCCGCUCGGGACGGUCGGCAACCGUCCUUUUGAAUGCAAGAGUACAAGCGGGCUUGACUGCGAGGCCCACAAGCCGAGCAGGUGCGAAAGCAGGCUCUAGUGAUCCGGCGGCCCCGAGUGG
rnacentral:rRNA from 1 species